rnacentral:sRNA from 1 species
GAGCGGCCCUCGGGAGACGCGGCUGCCGGCACGCGGGCGCCCAGGGCACAGGUCCCGCCGGGCCGCCUUGGGCGUUGCUGGCUGAGGCCCAGGGCAGCAGGUGCCAACGGUCAGGAAAGGCAGGGAGCCGAAGGCUGCCGGUGGGCGCUUCGCGUUUUGUUCCAAGGCGAAGGUACUGGCACACGGAUGAGGAGUCGUAGAAGAGGGGCCUGCAGAUUGUGCUCUCAGCAAGCCUGUCGUCUAGUGGAAGACACUGGCCGGGACACAGAGCCCACGUGUGGACACCGCUGUGGGUUGGUGGCAGGGGUCGAGCAGGUGCCAUCAGGCACAUGAACGGUGGAGUCUUCAAAGGUGUGAGCAGCUGCCGGAAGAGGAGGUGCUCCUGAAGACACUGCGGCCGGCCCGCCUGUGCCCUUGGUGCCCUGGCUGCCUAGAGAGCCUCACCCCUGGGCCCUGGGGCCAGGACUCCAGGACUCUGACUACCUGCCCUCCCCCAGCCUCAGCGGCUGCACCUCCUCAUUAGUACUGAUGCGCUGACCUCGGCACACAGCUGGGAGGGGUUGAGGGCUGGGUCAUG